CCCGGUAAUACGUAGGGGGCGAGCGUUGUCCGGAAUCAUUGGGCGUAAAGGGCGCGUAGGCGGCUGUAUAAGUCUGAUGUGAAAGUGCGGGGCUUAACCCCGUAAAGCAUUGGAAACUGUACGGCUUGAGGACAGGAGAGGAAAGUGGAAUUCCUAGUGUAGCGGUGAAAUGCGUAGAUAUUAGGAGGAACACCAGUGGCGAAGGCGACUUUCUGGACUGUAACUGACGCUGAGGCGCGAAAGCGUGGGGAGCAAACAGGAUUAGAUACCCUGGUAGUCCACGCCGUAAACGAUGAGUGCUAGGUGUAGAGGGUAUCGACCCCUUCUGUGCCGCAGUUAACACAAUAAGCACUCCGC
rnacentral:rRNA from 1 species